rnacentral:rRNA from 1 species
CGCGGGAAUUCGAUUCUCAGUAACACGUGGAUAACCUGCCCUAAGGUGGAGGAUAACCCCGGGAAACUGGGGAUAAUACUCCAUAGACCAGAGUGACUGGAAUGUUUUCUGGUCGAAAGUUCCGGCGCCUUAGGAUGGAUCUGCGGCCGAUUAGGUAGUUGUUGGGGUAACGGCCCAACAAGCCAGUCAUCGGUACGGGUUGUGGGAGCAAGAGCCCGGAGAUGGAAUCUGAGACACGAUUCCAGGCCCUACGGGGCGCAGCAGGCGCGAAAACUUUACAAUGCAGGAAACUGUGAUAAGGGAACCCCGAGUGCUCGUACACGCGAGCUGUCCAGGUGUGUAAAAAGCAUCUGAAGAAAGGGCCGGGCAAGACCGGUGCCAGCCGCCGCGGUAAUACCGGCGGCUCGAGUGGUGGCCACUAUUAUUGGGCUUAAAGCGUUCGUAGCUGGACUCUUAAGUCUCCUGGGAAAUCCGCCGGCUCAACCGGCGGGCGUCCAGGAGAUACUGGGAGUCUUGGAACCGGAAGAGGUAAGAGGUACUUCGGGGGUAGGAGUGAAA